rnacentral:rRNA from 1 species
UACGGUGGAUGCCUUGGCAGUCAGAGGCGAUGAAAGACGUGGUAGCCUGCGAAAAGCUUCGGGGAGUCGGCAAACAGACUUUGAUCCGGAGAUGUCUGAAUGGGGGAACCCAGCCAUCAUAAGAUGGUUACCUUACACUGAAUACAUAGGUGUAUGGAGCGAACCAGGGGAACUGAAACAUCUAAGUACCCUGAGGAAAAGAAAUCAACCGAGAUUCUCUUAGUAGCGGCGAGCGAACGGGGAUCAGCCUGCAAGUGAUAGCUUGUGUGUUAGUGGAACGGUCUGGAAAGUCCGGCGAUACAGGGUGAUAGCCCCGUACACGAAAACGCACUUGUGGUACUAAGCUUGCGAUAAGUAGGUCGGGACACGUGUUAUCUUGACUGAAGAUAGGGGGACCAUCCUCUAAGGCUAAAUACUACCAAUUGACCGAUAGUGAACCAGUACCGUGAGGGAAAGGCGAAAAGAACCCCGGAGAGGGGAGUGAAAUAGAUCCUGAAACCGUAUGCGUACAAGCAGUAGGAGCAGACUUGUUCUGUGACUGCGUACCUUUUGUAUAAUGGGUCAGCGACUUAAUGUGUCGAGCGAGCUUAAGCCGAUAGGUGGAGGCGCAGCGAAAGCGAGUCUGAACAGGGCGUUUCAGUUCGACGUAUUAGACCCGAAACCCGGUGAUCUAGCCAUGAGCAGGUUGAAGGUGCGGUAACACGCACUGGAGGUCCGAACCGAUUAACGUUGAAAAGUUACCGGAUGAGUUGUGUUUAGGGGUGAAAGGCCAAUCAAGCCGGGAAAUAGCUGGUUCUCCGCGAAAACUAUUGAGGUAGUGCCUCGGAUGGACACCCUAGGGGGUAGAGCACUGGAUGGAU